rnacentral:lncRNA from 1 species
UGUCUAGAGCAAUGUUGCUUUUUAAGUUGGAAUUUGCCUUCUGACAUUAGCAUUAGGUUUUGUUGAGGUUUUGUGCUUUCAUCUUAACAGACAUUUCCCCCACCCCCACUCCCCCAAAUAAUAUAUAAUCUUAUUUGAGAUUCAAUCAGACAUCAGCAAUAUCUUGUGGACUAAUAUGCAAUUUUAAAUGAGUUAAAUAUUCAUGGUGAUUGAUACAACCUUGGUAUUAAUAAUCUAUUGUGAAAGAACUGUAAGAAUAAAUAGAAGCUGAUAAGCUUUAUGCUGGUGUGCACAUGAUUGCUGACCUUAGUAUUUUUUUAUCCUAUCUUUUUAGGGCUGAGAAAAGUACAAUUGAAGAGCAUGGAGCAUUCUGACGUGUGUAACUCUUUGUAUCAAAGGAAGCCUUACAUGGCACAAUUUGGAUGAUGUCUGGACUUAAACCCAUUAUCAGAAAAAGAUAAUGAUGCUGUUGUGAGAGCCAAAUGAAGGGACAGCACAUAAUAUCAUACACAAGAAAAUCAGAGGAGAUCUUGAAUGAGCAAAGAGGAUGUACAUGAUGGAGUUAUUUACCAGGUACUAUAACAUCAAGAAAAGCAGAGCACCUCUUCUCAAAAGGGAAUUACAGAAAUUAAUUGAGGAUAUUGUGGCAUCAUUCCUUUAAAUUCCUUAUGCUCCAGAGUUCCCUGUUUCUCAGUGGCACCCCCUUGCUCUCAGAAGUUUUGCACCCACUUGUUCUCUUUCCACGUCACAACAUCCUGUCUGUCUGUCUGUCUGUCUCCUAGGCUCAGCAUCUCUAUCCGGCUGUGAACAAAGCUGUCACAGUGGUAAAUACUGUCAGAUAGAUUUCCUGUCUCCUUUUUUAAUAUGUGAAAGCAAAAGCAGAUGGCGUGCCUGCCUCCCUGAGACCAGAGAUCCCAAGCAGCAUGCAAAUGAUACAAGAAACUCGUAUACACUUCACUGCAAGAAGACUGCUAAGAAAUCCUGCCUGCUUCCACUGAAUCCCUUUAGCUGUUGACUUUCCCAAGGACAACUUUCCCCUAACGUGCAAGAGGCACACCAUAGGUGCAGUGUGCGUGAGACACUCUGGGCUGUCUUGACAAGUGUUGUCCGCUGGCAACGAGACAAAAACCAUACAAGCUGAAGUCUCUUAAUCAGAACUGAGUGUAUCUACACUUGCUGUCACAAGUAGGGAAACAAGGUGAUGCUUAACAGGAAUAAAUGAGGAAGGAGUGGGGGAAGGGGGAAAUCU